CAAGCCAAGGAAACAGCCUCAGAAGAAACCAGCCUUGCCGACAGGUUGACCUCAGAGUUCCAGACUCCAGAACUGUGGGAAAACAAACUUCUGUUGGUUAAGCCACCUAAUCCUUGGUACUCUGUCUUGACAGCCCUAGCAAAUUAAUAGUGUGCUUUAAGUGCAAUUAACAAAAACGUAUAGGUUAUGUCAAAUACAACAGUUGUUGGAACCCGUCUCCACAGGCUAAAGAAACAAAACCAACACUCAGCAAACCAUCCAGUUGUGCUGUCAUCAGAGGAAAUGGGGAUGGCAGUGAGCAGAUCUGGGAGGGCAUCCAACGGUUACCAGACACAAGCCAAGGAAGAUAGUGGGUUCAGGAUACCUUUUGAAGUGGUGCUGUUAAGAAUCUCCCUCAAAAGCUAGUCUGCUCCCAGGUGUUGUUGGCCAUGUGAGAGGGCAGGAUGUAAACUGAAACCAUAAAUGAGUUACAAGGAUCAUUUUCUCUGAACAGCAUUACAUCAAAGAUCAGAUGGUGCCAAAAGAUGAUGCACUCAGCUCCCUCUCUCUAGAGACCUAGUCUUAGCGAUCCGCCUAACCCUGCGAGUGCUGUCUGGAGAUGGAGCACACCAUGGAGGAAAUGCCCUGCAACCAGAAGACAGAUAAAAAGACAGAACACUGGGCCAUUCAGAUAACAUAUGUCACCUGUGCGCACUCUGGAAAGCAGAAUUUCAAGGAGGCAGAGAAAGGAAAAGGAAAUCUCCUCGCUGGCAACAAAACGAAAGUGUUUACAUGUGAAAUUAAUCGUCAGCGCAAAGAGCUUUCCCAGUCACUCUGUUCCACAAUAUAAUAUGCUGCUUGUUUAGCUGCUGAGUCUUUAAAAUUUUGAUUUCUAAGAAUAAUAGCAAAGACUUUCGAGAGGAGCCACGAAUCAAGUCGGGAGCAAGCCACAAAAGGUUAACACAAUGAUCCAACUUUGCUUUGCCACCACUAUCUGAGACUGUUGUGUGAUUUUUCAGGCUUUGAUGGUGCCUGGUUUAAGGCAGGCUGCAGCGGCAGCUGGCUAAUUUGAGCGUGGUGAACACCGAGGUCAGCUGCAAACGUGUGUUGCGCAAACUCCUCCUCUCACCCCUGCCUCAUUCCUUUCCAACAGGAACAUGCUCAGCACAAAGCAAUCCACCUAAAGACUCCAUAAAUCCAAAAAAGGGAGUUACUGAUCGAGGAAUUCUCAGAUUUCUGCCAAGGCACCCUCCCCUGGGCUGGAGGUCAGCCUGGUACAGUAAUCCGAGCCAAACUGUGGACUGGACUCAAGGAAUUAAGUUGAAUGCUUCAAAUCUUGACUUUUAAUGGACGAUUUUUCUUUUCGGUGAUGAAGACAAAACAAAGUACAAACAGCUGAUAACAGCCCAAAGUAAACCAGAAGAGUAAGUACGAGAACAAAGCUUGGACACAAAUCUCAUAAGGGAUAUCUAAGGAGAGAUUUUUCCAAACAAAGGGAAAAAAUAAAGCAGCUUUUUAAAGCUCUGGUUUGAGAUUAAGCAGUUUGUGAAUGAACAAUAAGAAAGUAAAGGCCACAAAACAAGAUAUUUGCUCUUUUCAGCAGAAAAAAAAAAAUACUGGCCUUUGUUAACUAGCAGCAAAACAAAAAAAAAGGGGGCCCCUCAGGCAUUUAAGCACAGCAUAAGUUUUUCCUUGACCCCAUGACCUCAACAAAUAUGUUAAUAAAAUCUUUUACCUCCCUGGAGUGGAACCAGACUAAAUAUUUACUUAACACGUUGGGUUUCUAAGUCUGGACCACCUUAUUCCUUCAUACAAAUUGGGUUUUACUUGUAAUCAGAAACACUAUAUUUUGCAAUGUUUCUCCUACUUUUAAGAUGAAAGAUGAGAAGGGAGGGGAAGAAGAAAAAGAAGGAAGGCCCCAGGGGUGGGGGGAGAAAGGGAGAAAAAGAAGAAAACUAUACUGCGCUCACUAUGACAAAGGGCACUUCUGAAUUUCUGCAUGGUAUUUUCUGUCACAAACGAGGGUAAUGCUGCUGAUAUGCUUUCCAAUAUCAGACAUCUGGAGCUAGCAGGACUUUUUCCAAGCACAUUCCAAGGUUAAUAGGAAACAUCUCGUCUUGCUUUUAUUAGCUGGUUUAAGUAAUGUUAGGUAUGCUGAGUUUCACCUUCAAAUAACUAUAAGAAGUCUGAUUUCUACUCACCAAGAAUGCCAUUUUUUCUUUCCUCUUGUCCCAAAGUAUUUACUACUCACGAAAACCUUAUGAAAAUUUUCACCAACAUAAAAGUCCUCCAAAAUCAGUUUCUUUUGUUAAAGGCUUCAAAGACUAGUAUUUUUUUUUUUUUAUCUAGACCUAAGAAUUUUGGACUUUUCUUGCUCUAGGUGGAUGAUGAGAUAGCCAGUUGCUUUUGAGGAGUUUGUGGAAAUAUCAAAGCAUUCCUUUUGCUGACAAGUUCAAGACUGAGUUUUCCAGAAACUGUGCAUUUUGUCCCCAAGUGCUCAUUCCCAAAGAAAUCACUCACUCUUCCCAUCGGUGUGCCCUCUUCUACUGGCAACUGCAAAUAAAUCCCCCAGCCCAAGCCACUCUGCAGCUUCACGCUUGCCCCGCACUGCCUUGGUCAUUUAAAGACUGCUACCUCUUCAACAGCAUCAUAACAGAUCACCAAAUUUGGAGGGAAAAAGUCAUUUCUAUUGCAAGAGGCUAUAAUUAAAAGUAGUUUAAAUCAGAUGCUAGCUGAUUGUCUUAUAAGUUUGGCUUUUAAAAAAGGAAAAAUACAGUCAGAUCUGUACCCACAUGCUGUAAGUGCUCAGGUCACAGAGAGGCCACUAAGAAGUUUCCAUAACCUGUCCUCUGCGAAAACUGGCAAAAAACUAAAAGUACCAGAGGAUAAGAGUAAGAUUAGGAUGGAUGUGCCCCCGUGCACCACCUGGAUUUUCAACCUCACUGGCAGGAGGCAUGGUCUGAUUUAGGAGGGAUGAGGGCUCAGUCAGGCAGUACCGUGGGAAGCAAACAAGACCCAAAGGGGCGGCCACCCACCCAAACUGAUGUAGGGUUUCGGGGCUGGGAGUCACCGAAGACACACAUACAUCAAGAGUGUGAAGGUUACUGCAAACGGAAGAGGAAUGCCAACUUGGGAGGCAAAAUUACCUCACUUAUAUUCUAAUGGACAUGAAAAAGGUAGUAUUAGAAACUCAAGGGGUGCCUGGGUGGCUCAGUAGGUUGAGCGUCCAACUUCAGCCCAGGUCAUGAUCUCAAGGUUUGUGAGUUCGAGUCCUGCAUCGGUCUCUGUGCUAACAGCUUAGAGCCUGCAGCCUGUUUCGGAUUCUGUGUCUUCUUCUCUCUCAGCCCCUCCCCAACUCAUGCUCUGUCUCUCUCUCUCUCAAAAAUAAACAUUACCAAAAAAAUUAAAACAAAACAAAGAAACUCAGGCCUUGAUUCUAAGUCCUGACUACCUUCUCCAACAACACAAUACUUUGACCUCAUGUUUUUGGGGUUUUUUUCCCCCUCAGUCUCUCUUCCCUUGUAAACCAAUCAUUAAAACUUGACUUCUCCAAAGGAAGAGAACUAUGAACAAUACACAGGAGUUGCUGGAACCCACACAGGGAGAGUAUGUAAAUCUGGAGACCCCAGUUUUCUGUGGAAAUGCACACACGGGUUCACUAUAAUGUCUUUAGGCAUGUUUCCCAGGUGUGCUUAUUUAAUCCUCGGUGUGGUUCCAAGGACGAAAUUCACCAAUACAUCACAGUGCCGCAACAGGUUGAGGCACACGCGUAAGGGGAUCUGGACUGGCUGCCAUUUCCAUCAUCCUCAUCAUUUUACAGAUGAGAAUACUGAGGGAGACACAUCAGGGAGCCUGCCCACAGAACCCAGCAGUAGAGAAGGCAGGAUGCAACCCAGCCUCUCCUCUCAUAGAAUACUGUCUGUCGACAUGGACCUCCUCUGCCAGUUCCCCAGGGCCACCUAGAGUGCCGACAUAAGCUCCCCCGAGUGCCAGGGCCGGUUUUCAAUACCCCAAGUACAGGAGGCGCUGAGCAUCUCUGCUUAGUGCCCUAAUGCUGAAUUUCUGACACCUAAUAUCAAGAGGCAUUUUCUCAAAAAUAUUUGUUGCUCUGCUGUGUUGCCCUUCAAAAAUAACUUACCUAAAAACCAAUUAGCACUGUCUGAGGGCAGAGAGGGUUUGCUCUCCAGUAUCCAUGUGUUGCCACAGUCUGAGGAAAGACUGCUUUUAGACCAGCAGCUCUGGCUUGGUUACGUUAAGACUUUGGAUCUAAUUAAACCCAAGCUACACUGGUCAUCACACUUUUGUCUUUUUUCAAUUUUCCGUGGGAGGAAAUGUUUAGAACAAAACAAGUAUCUAGCAAUGGCUGCAGCUAAUUACAAAGGGCAUUUACUGAGAAACCAAAUUGUUUUAAUAUGACCCCCAAAUGAACUCUCAAACAACUUCGCAGAGGGCCUAGCAAUGUACAGUCUAAUUCAGAAGAUCUUUCUUUCGUCAAAUGUAUUUGAAACCAUGUUCACCGUAACUUUGCUUUCCAAUAUUUCAAUUUAAAAACAAACUGCUUAAAGGAGAAUUAAAACCUUAUCUUUAUCAAUGAUCUUCAAAUAUACAAACCAUAUAUAGUUGACCCUUUAACAACAUGGGGUUCAGAGGCACCAACGGCUUGUGCAAAAAUCUGUGUGCAAUUUUUAACCCCCCCCCAAACUUAACAGCCAUAAUUAACACAUUUCAUAUGUCAUAUGUACUAUAUGCUGCAUUCUCGCAAUAAAGGAAGCUAGAGAAAAGGAAAUGUUAUUAAGAAAAUCACAAGGAAAAUACAUUUACUGUCCUGUAUCUAUAAAAAAUCUGCAUGUAAGUGGACCGGCACAGUUCAAACCUGUGUUGUUCAAGGGUCAACUCUACUACAUAAAAAUAUGAAAUCAUCCUAGUGGAGGAAGAAACACUCAUCAGCCCAGAGAGACAGUGUAUAAACUACUAAGAAUGGUAAUUCAAGAAAGAGAAACAAAUUUAACCUGACUCUGUUUGGAAACAUUUAAUUAAUGCAGAAGAAAUGCAGAUAUUCCUAAAGUCAGAAAAAUGGAAAAACAGAGACGGGGUAACAAGCCAAUUAGCUAUUAUCAUCAUGAAGGCACUAAAGAGCAAAUAACAAAGCAGGUGAUCCUCAGAUUACACUGAUGCAAUGUAUUCCAUCCCACUCAAAAAUACAGCGUCCCUCUGGCUUUGUCUAAACAGUGUAAGAACAGCUGAUAAAAAUUCACAAUAAUCAGAUGAAUUGCUCUAGGAUGCCAAAGAACAAAUUUAAUUGAAUCCCUGAUUGAAUUGAUUGUGACAGUGUAGACAGUUAAGCUUCAUAUAAUAAAAUUAAAACUUUAAAAGCAGUCAUCAUGAAAAAAAAAGGAAAAAGAAUAUGCUUAAUAAAGAUGAAAAGAUGUGGAGACUUGGCUCCCAGACCUUGAUAACAAGAUCAGAACAAUUUAAGAUUCUAUUAUCAAGAAGUGAGCAAAAUAUGCAAGGGCCUGGGGCAUUUCAUGAUGUAUGAUUAGACCCAAGUCUCCACAGGGCAGCAUGAAAUGGACACUCAGUUAUGGUCCAGAGCAUCCAGGCUUCAGAAACAGUCAAAUCCACUUAAGGAAGGAUCAAAAUUAUGAACAUGAGGACUCAGAGAAGAUGUGGGCACAAUUUCUGAUGCUGUAUUAACUGAACUGGUUGGGUAUAUAAUCUCAAUUAUCCAACCAAUUAAUCAAAAAAUAUUUGCUGUGUCCUUAAUUUUGGUGAGGUAUUCACUAUUUGGUAGGUAGCUUUCAAUCCUAUAGAAUGAACAUCUUACCAAGAGUACAUCCCAUUACUUUGGGCUGGAAGUGCCAAAGCAGCAAGCACAUUUCUUCAAAAGAGUUUUGGUUUUUUUUUUUUUUUUUUCCAUUGGAACUAAGCCAUCAAAUCCUGGGGUGUCUGUGCAGGAAAGGACUGGACUUGUAAUUAAGUCCUGUUUUCAAAACUGAAUUCUCUGAACCAUACAACAACUGGAAGUCCCUGAUAGUGCAUGUUUCAAAGAGUGGUUCCUUUCCCUGCCCACUCUUCAUUCCUUCAGCCAGCAUUCACCGAGUCCCCCACAAUGCAGCAGGCACUGGGCUAAGUGUUCAGCCAUGUGCUGCCAAACCCACACAGCACACUGACAGGCUAAGAUUCAGCAAAUGCCUGGCAAAACAAGAACAGACUUUCAGAUCAUGAUCCCAGUAAGCCUUCUGGGUAACUUUCACUACCAUCAUUUAAUGAAGGGCAUGAAACAGUACUUCUUGGAAAAGUACUUAGUAGCAAUCCCUUACUUGGGUCAUGUUUAUUCCUAUCUUAGUAAGUUUUAUCCAUCUGACUACCAACUCUAGCUUUCCUUGACAGUUCUGAAUGUCGGUUGCCUAAGAUGCAGUAUCUUCUCCUAAUUUCUCUUCUUUCCUGUCCAAGAACAGGUUUUCCAUCCGACACUGACUUUAUCCAACAAAAGCGUCCUCAAAAUGCCUGGACCCACUUUGAACACAACAACUUUUGUAGAUUUCUCCCUGUUCAGCCACCAGACUGCAGUACUUUUCCCCGCUGGAAUUGUAUCAAACGCAGUUCAGACAGGAAGGCUGUUACCUGCCCCAGUAAUCAAAGGACAGUGGCGUGUGAUGGUGAUCUGAGUACCGGUUGGAGUGGAGAAGGGAGAGGAGCUAGAACUGGACAACCACACCAGAACUUCUGUGCACAUUAUGAAUCUCCCUCUUGUUUUAAUUACUUUUUGGUAGGAGUCUUUGGCUCAUAUUAUUACUGGCAAUGACUGCUGAGCUAUUCUCCCUUUCUUUCCAAUCAAUGGCUCUGGUUCCCAAUUUCAGCUUAAAAGGGGCAAACAGACCUUCCUUUCAUUGGCCACGUUCUCUUAUGUAUCUUCUCUUUCUCCUUUUCAAACACGAGUCCCAUUUGUAUUUCUGUCUAUGAAAGUAAGGAUGAAUGCUGAACAAGCACAGCCUAAAGUCAAGGGCUUCAAAACAUCUCCAGCUAGAUAAUCCUAACACUUUUAAGGCACAACGUUAAAAUGGGAGCCACUCGAAGGUAAUAAUAGGCCAUGAUUAUAUUUAUGAAGAUUUCAUUACCUUGUGAAACCAAAGCUGAUUAUGCUUUACCAUCAUGACCGCCUCAGUCAGGUUGCUGAGACACAAACUGUGGACCUGCUAGAAAAACAGCAUUAAUAACCCAGCACAUAAUGGCUCUCCACAGCAAUGUUGCAGAUGAGACGGGUGACUCUACCCUGAGAGGAGAUUCCUCUUUCAGCAGGCCAUUCCAAGUGAACUUUUUGGACUCUUUUAGGACCUCUUCCGUCAAAAGAAGUAUAAAAGAAAGGAGCACCAAAUGUAGGAGUUGUUCCUGUACUGUGUGUAGGUUUCACUUAGCUAUCCCCCUACCUCCCUACCACCGAGCUACCUUUAAUGAUUAUUGCGAGGAGCUUUUCAGUAGUAAAUUCAAAAUCUACCUGUACUCAUCUCAUUUCCUGGGCCAUAAAUUUUAUAACCUGAGCUGUCACAAUUCUGCAGAGUAUUAGGCUGUUACUAGCUAUAAAUCUCAAGGUGAGUCGCCUGGUUCUGCCCAGAAAUAACAGAUCUCCAUGUUUCCCCAACUACUGACUCAUUCAUUUAUUCCACAGACAUUUAUUGAUCACUAAGGAUGUGCCAGAUCCUGGAUAGGUACUGAAGCAACAAUCAGACUGGUUCAGAGACAUGGGAUCUCUGACAUAAUGUCCCUAAUGUCCCAUUAGGACAUGUCAAUGAAAGUUAGGGUUUCCUUCCACUGUGCAGAAAGAGAAUGCCAGUCAACUUCACUAGCUGUUCUAGAGUUCCCUCUCAGUGAUGAAACUUUUCCACAUCUGAAUUCACCAUCCUGACUAGAGAGGAAAAGGAAACAAAACAAAACAAAACACAAGGCAUCACAGUCUCAACUGCUACCAAAGAGAGAGGUGAUGAUGCCCAUGUACUAGUGGUCAGUGUUCUUGUUUCAAGUUUACAGACCUGGAGGGUAGAAAAACAGAUGGGCAGAAAUAAACCAGCCAAUAAGUAGAAUGUUGUGUGAUGACUGUAGAGAGAAAGCAUGAGAUUAUUCCUACUGGAUAUGCAGGGGUGAGUUUCGUAGAGGAGCUGUUAUUUAAACUCAGUCUUGAAGAAUGGCUUUAUUCUGUCAGAAGGAGCCUUCUUUCUAGGAUUGAGUAAGCAAAGGCACAGAGGGACUCCUGGGGUAUGUUUAGAGUAAGAAGUGCCUGGUUCCUCUAGGAAAAUAUAUUCCAUUGUGGCCAGAAAUAAGAUUCGUUUACAUGGUUCCUGACAUGACUGCCCACUGACAGAAACUAAAUUUAUGAAGGUCUAAACACAGAAAUUAAAAAAUAAAUUAUUUAAAAGUAUGAGGUGAGAGUAGGCAUAAAGAAUUCAAGGAAUGACGUUUACCUAUGUUACUUUUACCAAGAGAAUCAGGUAAGUCCAGCCUCAUCUGAAGGGACUAAAAGAAUUAGUGAAGUCAUUUCACAUUGAAAAUCUUGAAGCUGAUGUAGUCUAAGCUACGAGUCUAGGCUGUAACCAGAAGAAAUUCAAGGAAAAUCCUUCUCAGUCUUGGCUUUCCCCAACUUCUGUGUGUCAUGUGAUGAGAUUCCCUUCAAAUGGUCACUAGACUAUUGACCAACUUAGUAACAGCCUGUAGGCCUCAAACUGUAAACAAUUUUAUGAUGAUGAUGUCAGUGUUGGCUUGAAUUUUGAGUAAGUAUGUCUGACUAAUCAGGAAGAAGUGGAAAGAGGGAACCAACCGGGUACAUGUGGUUACAACUGAUUAGCACGUGGCUCCACCCAGUUAGCCUCAUGAAGGGAAGUGUGGUGCCUCCUCUCAGGCAGCAGUAACGCCCUCUCCGGCCACAUGGGCGCUAAUGAACCUGCUGUAAUUGGCCAGUGGAAGUGGUGCUACCUUCUCAAUAGAAAGGGGUUAACAGUGCUCCCUUCUUCUUUCCCAAUUCCUUGUAGCUAGGGGCCAGCCUUCUCUCCACCACUCCACCCCAGCCUGAGGACAGGGAGAUGCAACAACAAAAUAAGCUACCAUCUAGCCAGGAGUAUAUAGAAGUGUGUGUUCCUUUCUGUUGGGCACAAUCAAAAGGCAAAGAAGCGGACAGGUUGGAACCCGAGUGAUGGCCUUGGGCCAACUCUAAGAUGCUGGCUUGGUGGCUUCCUAUAGCUUAGCACAUCAAGUCCUUGGCUUCUAGAUCUAGUUUGCGCGGUCUGCGCUUGAUGGCACAGAGGCCCUAAACAGGACAGUCUCUACUGUGUACAAAUGCAUCGUGCUUACUCUUGCAAGCAUAUGUUUCUAAUGUAUUCCCUUCAUCUGGAAUACGCUUCUCUCUCAUCUAAAUCUAUCCAAAUAUUCUUAGUUCUUCAUUCACUUAAUAAUUAUUAAGAACUAGUGUUAAGCCCUAGGGAUAAAAGCUUAAGAAGGCAUGACACCUGCUGUCAAGGAGCAAAUAGUCCACUCCUAGGUUUUCAGUUGAGUGCCAACUCCAACCAAUUAUUAACAGAACUCUAUACUGAGGAUUCUGAAAUCCGAUUCAGGCUGAAUAAUAAUAAUGGGUAUAUCAAGCUUGAUUAGCAAUGUCUGCCACAUGGGUAGCAGGAGUUCGUGAUAGCAUGCAUGCCAUAUACUUGCCAUCUCUGGGUCUGGCUUAAUUUCUACCUCCUUAAAAAAAAUGUCCCCUACAAUCCCCAUUCCCCAGUGUUCAACAGUAUCAUUCUUCUGCAUCUUACAAUUUAGAACUAGAUUCUAUUGCAUUACAUUAAAUUUGUCACACAUGUUAGCCUUCUUUCCACAACUAAAAUCUAAGCUGACUGAGGGCACAGGUCAAGUGUGCAUCUUCUGUAAUGCAAAGAACCAAGCACAAAUAAAAUGCUCAAAAAAUACUUGUUCAGUUGACAUGGGAAUAGAUGCACAAUCGCACCAAGAACUUUUCUCAUUUUCUUCAGUAGUCUCUAGUCAUGGCACCUUUGUGUUCUCGAGGUCAUUUCCAUAAUAUCACAGAAUCUGAUUAUAAAGUGGGGGAUUUAAAGUUCCAGUACUGGGAUCAAAGCUCCUCCUGGAUCCUGGAGGGGAUUUUUAUGGCUACAGGAAAAGUUACUGUUAGCUCUAAGUUACCACAGCUGGAUCAAACCUAGCAUAUCACCAGGUUGAUCAGAGUGUGGCUCCAAAGCUGGUAAAUGUGAGCAAUUGCAAGCCACUCUCUUUUGGCAAGUGGCUUUCUGGACUAACCACAAUUUUUUUCUCUUGUUAGUAAAUAAUAGAAAAUGACUGACUGUGAAAACUAAAAUUAUAUUCACUUCAACUUCCUACCUCUUAAGAAGAAGGUAAGGGUACAAGUUACUUCCAGAUCACCAAAACUAAACAUGAUUAAGUCUUAAGGAUGAAUUUUUAAAAGUCCAACCCAAUAUUUAUUGAACUUCUAACACAUAUUUAAAACUUUAUUAAGUGCUCUAUGUGAAAUUUAUAAACCCUCUGGGAGCCUGUAAUUUAUUUGGUCAAUGAAAGAAAUGAGUAUGAUCCAACCAACCAAUAAUGCAGGAGAGUAUAAUCUAGUGUUACACCCAGGUUAACACCAUGUCAUGGCUACUAAUAAGUGAAUUGAUAUUUAGAAUUUAGUUGAGAGCCAUGUUAAUGCUUAAAUCCCAAACCAUUAGAGCUGCUAAACCAUUAGCUGCUGCUAAUCAUGCCCUCACAGAUCAAUUUCAGGGUCACUGCUAUUUUUUAAACCAGUAAGAUAGAAAUCUUUGAAGCUGUCCCUACCUGCAAAAUAUGUCUAGAAAUACCCAUUUCAGAUAAAUUUAGACCCAAUAAGUGGUAUUUUUAGCAACCAUGAUUUCUACAGAUGUGGGCUGAGAUUUAUGGUUAAUCUGUUUUCCAGUUCAAAGCAAAGGAGCAGUUUAAAAUUGGAAUCUUUUAAUAUAUCGUGAUCAACCAAGAUGACAUAGUCCAAGUACAUUCAAUACAUUUUCCUCAGGUAUAUUCAAAUUGGAUUUGCGGAUAUGAUUUCCUUAUCCCUAGUCUUUUCCCGUAGAACAAAGGAAUUACACAGAUAAUUCAGGCAAAUCCUUCCCACUCCUACACCACUCCAGGAACAUUCUGAAUAACCAAGAUGAAUCAGAUGAAAUCAAGCUUUUUGUUUUGUUUUAAGCGUAAUUAUUCUGAUAACUAUGUCAGUGCUCCAUUUCACUUUGGCUGUGAGGAUAAGACCUUAGGAGACUUUUCAGCCAGGAACAGCACUAAGGAAAAACAUGUGGAAGACCAAGGGAGCCGGUAUUUCACCUCAGGGCUCCCCAUCCCCAGUGUGGAUGAAUACUUAAGGUAUAACGCUUGUAAUCUAGAGGUUCCUCAUCUAAUUUAGUGAAGUAUUCACAUUUUAGAAGUUUAUUUUUCUACUUCAGAAGUACUCAUUUCAGGAUUUCAAAUAAAAUGAAUGUCUUUAGUAUUUGAUGAUGAUCUGCUUUACAUACAAGUUUUUAAGAAUUCCAUCAGGUUAAAAUAGAGUGAGACUCUAAAUAACUGUUUAUUCAAAGAUUUCUGCUCAAAUGCCUUCUACCUGAAUUAUCUAUAUAACUCAAGAUGAAGCUGGGCUGGGGUUAAAGCCGGAUAGAUCAUCCCUACUGUCCUAAUUCCCCAAACAAUCCCCAAUCUCCCCCUUACAGUGCGCUGGAAGGCCUUGUGUAUAAUAGCACCAGAUAAAAUUACCCUCCUAGGUACUCUUCAGCAACUCCACAAUCAACUGAGCAACCUAUAAAUUUACAUUCCAAAGCCCAAUGGCACAGCGACCAAUAGUACCUCAUUCCUCCUCAAUCUUUGUCUUUCUCCUUUAAAUAAGAAAACCUUAUGUUAAUGGGGAGAUUAUUGAAAGAGUCUCCUUGUAAGCCAUGAAUGCCACUUCACAGACUGUACAAAAAGCAGAGCUCUAUGAACAGUACAAUAGAGUCAACUCAUCUUUGUGAAAAGCUCAGCAUCAGCCUUACAGAGAACUUAAAUAGUUCCAAUUCCUAGAUCUCUAUUAAAACAUAAUGAGUCCAUGCUUAUGCCACUGUGAGUCCAUGCACACACAUAUGCAAAGGCAAGUUUACUGCACAGAGGGUAGUCAUAUUGUAAAUCGGGACUUAACCUUGACAUUGGAUUACAUUAUUUUUUCAAGCUAUUCAAGAUCAUCUGCUCAUUCUGAAGUAUUUUCUUCUCAUUGAUGUAUCUGAAGCAAGUACCUUUAAAAUAAAACACCUAAAUACCAAAAACCCAUACAAAAUGUAUCUUAGAUGUUCAAAUUUAGCAAAAAGCCAAAUAUAAAUUACCGAAAAUCUCUGCAGACUUGCAAUAUCUUGUUAAUUGCAAAAAUAAAUAAAUAAAUAAAUAAAUAAAAUAAAAUAA